rnacentral:lncRNA from 1 species
CUUCCCACCAAAGCCUUUUCCUCCACCACUUCCAGUCUACAAGAAGCCACUCCCACCUCCAGUUCCAAUCUACAAGCCAGAGCCAAAACCACCAGUCUUCAAGCCUCCUCCGGUCCCAAUCUACAAGAAGCCACUCCCACCUCCAGUUCCAAUCUACAAGCCAGAGCCAAAACCACCAGUCUUCAAGCCUCCUCCGGUCCCAAUCUACAAGCCAAAACCACCAGUCUUCAAGCCUCCUCCGAUCCCAAUCUACAAGAAGCCACUCCCACCUCCAGUUCCAAUCUACAAGCCAGAGCCAAAACCACCAGUCUUCAAGCCUCCUCCGGUCCCAAUCUACAAGAAGCCACUCCCACCUCCAGUUCCAAUCUACAAGCCAGAGCCAAAACCACCAGUUUUCAAGCCUCCUCCGGUCCCAAUCUACA